GAUGAACGCUGGCGGCGUGCCUAAUACAUGCAAGUCGAGCGAACGGACGAGAAGCUUGCUUCUCUGAUGUUAGCGGCGGACGGGUGAGUAACACGUGGAUAACCUACCUAUAAGACUGGGAUAACUUCGGGAGACCGGAGCUAAUACCGGAUAAUAUUUUGAACCGCAUGGUUCAAAAGUGAAAGACGGUCUUGCUGCCACUUAUAGAUGGAUCCGCGCUGCAUUAGCUAGUUGGUAAGGUAACGGCUUACCAAGGCAACGAUGCAUAGCCGACCUGAGAGGGUGAUCGGCCACACUGGAACUGAGACACGGUCCAGACUCCUACGGGAGGCAGCAGUAGGGAAUCUUCCGCAAUGGGCGAAAGCCUGACGGAGCAACGCCGCGUGAGUGAUGAAGGUCUUCGGAUCGUAAAACUCUGUUAUUAGGGAAGAACAUAUGUGUAAGUAACUGUGCACAUCUUGACGGUACCUAAUCAGAAAGCCACGGCUAACUACGUGCCAGCAGCCGCGGUAAUACGUAGGUGGCAAGCGUUAUCCGGAAUUAUUGGGCGUAAAGCGCGCGUAGGCGGUUUUUUAAGUCUGAUGUGAAAGCCCACGGCUCAACCGUGGAGGGUCAUUGGAAACUGGAAAACUUGAGUGCAGAAGAGGAAAGUGGAAUUCCAUGUGUAGCGGUGAAAUGCGCAGAGAUAUGGAGGAACACCAGUGGCGAAGGCGACUUUCUGGUCUGUAACUGACGCUGAUGUGCGAAAGCGUGGGGAUCAAACAGGAUUAGAUACCCUGGUAGUCCACGCCGUAAACGAUGAGUGCUAAGUGUUAGGGGGUUUCCGCCCCUUAGUGCUGCAGCUAACGCAUUAAGCACUCCGCCUGGGGAGUACGACCGCAAGGUUGAAACUCAAAGGAAUUGACGGGGACCCGCACAAGCGGUGGAGCAUGUGGUUUAAUUCGAAGCAACGCGAAGAACCUUACCAAAUCUUGACAUCCUUUGACAACUCUAGAGAUAGAGCUUUCCCCUUCGGGGGACAAAGUGACAGGUGGUGCAUGGUUGUCGUCAGCUCGUGUCGUGAGAUGUUGGGUUAAGUCCCGCAACGAGCGCAACCCUUAAGCUUAGUUGCCAUCAUUAAGUUGGGCACUCUAAGUUGACUGCCGGUGACAAACCGGAGGAAGGUGGGGAUGACGUCAAAUCAUCAUGCCCCUUAUGAUUUGGGCUACACACGUGCUACAAUGGACAAUACAAAGGGCAGCGAAACCGUGAGGUCAAGCAAAUCCCAUAAAGUUGUUCUCAGUUCGGAUUGUAGUCUGCAACUCGACUACAUGAAGCUGGAAUCGCUAGUAAUCGUAGAUCAGCAUGCUACGGUGAAUACGUUCCCGGGUCU
rnacentral:rRNA from 1 species